rfam:Mesocricetus auratus contig023773, whole genome shotgun sequence.
UCAAAGGCUCUUUUCAGAGCCACUCAUUUAUUCUUUAAGAAGAGUU